UACAGAGGUCUCAAGCGUUGUUCGGAUUCAUUGGGCGUAAAGGGUGCGUAGGUGGCGCGCUAAGUCAGGUGUGAAAUCUCGGGGCUUAACUCCGAAACUGCAUUUGAUACUGGCGUGCUUGAGGACUGGAGAGGAGACUGGAAUUUACGGUGUAGCAGUGAAAUGCGUAGAGAUCGUAAGGAAGACCAGUGGCGAAGGCGGGUCUCUGGACAGUUCCUGACACUGAGGCAACGGAAGGCCCAGGGGAGCAAACGGG
rnacentral:rRNA from 1 species